rfam:Schistosoma curassoni strain Dakar, Senegal genome assembly, scaffold: SCTD_contig0002214
GCACUGCUGAGGAGUCCCACAAUAGAACGAGACGAUCGUCCAGUAC